rnacentral:rRNA from 1 species
UGGGGAAUAUUGCACAAUGGGGGAAACCCUGAUGCAGCGACGCCGCGUGAGCGAAGAAGUAUUUCGGUAUGUAAAGCCCUAUCAGCAGGGAAGAAAAUGACGGUACCUGACUAAGAAGCCCCGGCUAACUACGUGCCAGCAGCCGCGGUAAUACGUAGGGGGGCAAGCGUUAUCCGGAUUUACUGGGCGUAAAGGGAGCGCAGGCGGUCUUGCAAGUCUGAUGUGAAAGCCCGCGGCUCAACUGCGGGACUGCAUUGGAAACUGUGGGACUUGAGUGUCGGAGGGGCAAGUGGAAUUCCUAGUGUAGCGGUGAAAUGCGUAGAUAUUAGGAGGAACACCAGUGGCGAAGGCGGCUUGCUGGACGACAACUGACGACUGAGGCGUCGAAAAGCGUGGGGUAGCAAACAGGAUUAGAUACCC